rnacentral:rRNA from 1 species
UACGUAGGGUGCGAGCGUUGUCCGGAAUUACUGGGCGUAAAGAGCUCGUAGGUGGUUUGUCGCGUUGUUCGUGAAAACCGGGGGCUUAACCCUCGGCGUGCGGCGAUACGGGCAGACUGGAGUACUGCAGGGGAGACUGGAAUUCCUGGUGUAGCGGUGGAAGUGCGCAGAUAGUCAGGAGGAACACCGGUGGCGAAGGCGGGUCUCUGGGCAACAACGUGACGCUGGAGGAGCGAAAGCGUGGGGAGCGAACAGGA